rnacentral:lncRNA from 1 species
ACCCUCAUUGCUCCCCCAUUGUUUCUUCCCCAUCUUUUCCUUUUUAAACAGAUCGACUUGGAGAACUGAAGCCCAAGCAAACCAGAGUGAGUACUGCCUCUCCCUACCCUGCUCCCCAGGGCCAGCUGAGUCCUCCAGCCAAGAACUUAACUGCAGAUCAAAGAGAAUUAUCCUAGUUCCGUGCUGUACCUUUUAAAUUUCACAUUAUUUCACCACUAUUACUACUACUACUACUACUACUACUACUACUACUACUACUACUAAUGUUAUGAUAGGAGCAGGUUGCUAAAGAAUACAGAAACACCCAAGUAGAAAGUGAAGUACUUAAUGUAAAUGUUGGUUAAGAGGGAGCAGAGCAGGCCAAUGGGAAGGGGAGGAGGAGAAAGAAAGAAGUGGGUAUCAGGUGGUGUGUGCUCAGUAGACAUGUUUACAACAGUUACAUUAGUAACACACUACCAUGUACAAUGAAUAGUAAUGAGAACUACAUGUAUGAGUUGGACUUGCAGAGAGGAAAGAUGGUCGCUGAAGGUCCUCCAGAAGGUUGUGUAGAGCAGGCCGAGUGACUGCCCUUGCACUCACUUUGAGCCAGCGCAGACUCACCCAGCCUUUCCACCAACCCUGCAGUCCAGGCUUCCAGAUGAGGAAGCAGGCUCUGGGUUAGACAAGUGCGGGGCUUGCUUCUAGAAAACAAAGUCUCUGGCACCAUUGCUGAAGUUGCCCUUCCUCUACGACCUUGUGGUCACUUGUCAUUCUGUCCCAACUCCUGGAGUGGGAGUGCCUGAAGAUGUGCCCACUGGGAAUCCGUGCUAAGGACAGGUGGCACCAAGCCGUGUGUAAGGCACACAACUUGUAGGUCUUAGGUCCUCCCUGUCUCUUCCUGAGACUUGCUUGUCAUGGAGCAUGUUGUGUGUAUACAUUCCUUCCAGCCGCCUGUCAUUGGAUGAAAGCUUGGAAGAGACAGGUAGUAUAUAAGCUCUGACCACAGCUGUCCCCUCCACAGUCUCUCUGCCACGCCUAGUGGACCUGGACUGGAGAGUGGAUAUCAAAACCUCGUCUGACAGCAUCAGCCGCAUGGCCGUCCCCACCUGCCUGCUCCAGAUGAAGAUCCAGGAGGACCCUAGUCUGUGUGGAGAGAAACCCUCUAUCUCGGCUGU